UUUUUAAUAAAUAUAUUCAUAAUUAUAAUUAUUGAAAUGUUUUAAAGUUUAAUUUUUGAAAAAAAAAAAUGUUUAAUAACCGUAACAAAACGUACAGAGAUUAGAUAAUAAAUUAAUAACCGCUAUAGCUAAUCUGCGCUACUGUUAAAGGUGUUUGUUAACGAUUCGAGGUCACUUGGUCAGACUUGGUAUUGUCUUUGAUAGACAAAACGUAAAAACUUGUUUGUAGUGGUGGAUAAUAAAUUCGAAAUUGACUGUUUUUUCAUUCUAAAAAGACCUAUUUUCAUUCAAACAUCCUACGAACAACUUUUAAUAAAUGUGUACUUAUACUUAUCAAAAUUUGACUUAAAAAUGUAAAAUUGAACAAAAUAUUCAACAUGGAUUAUUACGCUUCUUCGUAUCAAAAAAUGGAAAAAGUUGUUCAUUGAAACCAAAGUAAACAUAUUAAAAAAGUUUUCACUAUCAAAAUCGCAUCAUCAGAUCGAUAUGAUGGAAUGAAAAUUGACAUUUUUCACAAAACUUUAAAAGUUUUACAACUCUAGAAAAAAAUAAUAUUUGUUCACCUUUAAACUAGCCGGCAUUUUAAAAUAGCUACUACUAGAUUUAUUUUUGAUUUUAUAGAUUUCGAUCUAUACAGUGUACUUUUUAAAAUGCUUUGUAGUGAAAUGAAUAAUACUGUACAAGUCUGCGCUGAAGUUAGGGAAGCAAUAGCAUCAAUGAGGACACCAGAAGAAGUGGCAAUAUUGAUGGGAGAUGAUUAGGAUUAGCAGAUUAAAAUUAAAAGUUAUCAGAAAAAAAAAAUAGAAAAAUUGUCAUAGUCUAACAUUAACUUGUUUAAAAAUGCAUUAAAACGAAUUUGUUGACCAAAAUCGCUAUUUUUUUUUAAUAAACAUCGAUUUAUUAAAUUGUGUGCUAUGUUAGUUUUUUUUAUAAAUACUUAAGUAGUCGGAGAAAUGAUAAUUUAACAAUUUAAUAUCCUAAUUCAUUAUCAUAAUGUACAUUAU